rnacentral:misc_RNA from 1 species
GUGUGAUAUANACAUGCUAAUAUUGUCACGGUUUAUUGGACGUUAGAAAUGACUCAAAUAUGAACAANGCUUUAAUUUUUACGAGGUUUAACCCAGGUAGAUGUGCUGGAUUUUAUCGAUUGAGCCAUUUAUGCAGAGCAAAAUCCAGUGUAAGGNCUGUGAGAUGGAAAACUUCACAAACUCAAGUUAGCAAAGGAGUUUCAAGAGUAUGGUACUGGUCUCUACCUUUUGCUGUUGGUGUUGGGUAUUCAGUAUAUAUUGCAAAGCCUUGGGAUGUUGUGAGAAGACGAAAACUAAGAGUCGGAGUUGAAGGAAUUGGUCGAUUUUUUAGAUCAUUUUACAUUGGACUGUCAAUAUCAAUAGACUACUGGUGGUCACUGCAUGGAUUAGACCCUGAGGGAGAAGCAUAUAAAAAGGCUAUCAAUGAGUGCCAUCAAAGAGCAGCUGAUCAUAUUGUCAUUGGUGCUAUACUAAAUGGGGGACUUUAUGUCAAACUUGGACAAGGAUUGGCUUGCUUCAAUCAUAUUCUGCCCAGCCAAUAUACUGAUACUCUACAGGUCCUUAGAGAUCAGGCACUGAGACGUCAAAUAGGAGAGGUGGAUCAGCUGUUUUUAGAAGAUUUUGGUAAAACAGCAAAAGAAAUGUUUGCUGAGUUUGAUGAGAAUCCAUUGGCUGCAGCAAGUCUUGCNCAAGUGCACAAGGCUAAGACUCAUGAUGGGAAACCACUGGCUGUGAAGGUGCAGUACAUAGAUCUAAGAGAUCGUUACGAUGGCGAUUUAUGGACACUAAANGUUCUUCUUGAUGUGAUUGGGUGGAUGCAUCCAAUGUUUACUUUUGCUUGGAUUUUGGAUGAUAUGAAAGACACUCUCAGACAAGAGCUGGACUUCGAGCUCGAAGGGCGGAAUGGAGAGAGAUGNUCCAAGGAGCUUGCUCACCUUGGAUUCGUACAUGUACCCAAGAUAUACUGGGAUAUGACCAGUAAGCGAGUUCUAACAACCGAAUUUAUUGAUGGAUGUCGAGUUGAUGAAGUCGAUAAAAUAAAGGCUGCUGGUCUUGAUGUUAGUGAUGUUGCUGCCAAGAUGAUCAAAGCUUUUGGAGUACAAAUAUUCCAUACUGGGUUUUUACACGGGGACCCUCACGCAGCUAAUGUUUUUGUGCGUCAAGGAAAGGACAAGAAGGCAGAACUAGUGAUAUUAGACCAUGGUCUUUAUGAACACCUAGAAAAAAGGGAUCGCAUCUCCCUCUGCAAGCUAUGGAGAUCAAUUCUUCUGAAUCAACAGGAUAAAAUGAAGUAUUAUAGUCAAGAGCUUGGCGUAGAUGAUUAUGAAAACUUCACGCAGAUCUUACUCCAACGACCGUUCGCUUGGGGUAGUGCAGGUGCACUCUUUACAACAAAGGUCACUGAAGAAGACUUCAAGAUUAUGACUAAACUGGCGCAGGGACACUUUGAAAGAGUAAUCAAAAUACUGAAACAACUACCAAGGACAAUGUUACUAGUGUUCAGGAAUCUCAACACAGUACGAGCAGUAAAUGACGAUCUAGGUGCACCGGUCGACCGCUUUGUGAUCAUGGCCAAAUGUGCCAUAUGUGGAUGCAAUGAGAAAGUAGCUGACAGGUCUUUCACAGCCAAAAUAAAAACGUAUUGGGAAACUAUUGCAUUCGAUGUUAGAAUACGGUACCUGAGCCUAAGAGCGUGGUUAGUAGAGCGUUACAUUCUGUUUCUUCAGUAUCUUGGUCGAGCUCCAAUUGAAAUGACAGAUCUCACAUCAAAACUUAGAACUUUAGAAGACUUAGACCGAAAAACCGCCAAAGAAGAAGAGAUCUCGACCCGAUUAGGGAUAAAAUUACAACUAAGUGAACGGUGGAGAAUCCGAGCCGACACAGCGAAUGUUUGGUUCUUUCACAUAAUGGGAGGAGGUUACACUUUACCGGCACAAGACAUCGAGUAAGAUUUUAUUUGAUGAUGGUUAUGGUGGCGUUUUUCCUUGAAGUGCAAGAUAAGAUGGUUGACCUUAGUCUAUGAUGAAAUCUUGGUGCGAGAUAAAAUUUGCUGCUAUUGUAUAUCUUGCCAAAGACAAAAUACUUAGCACACUUGGACUAUUUUUACACAAAUUAUGGAACUUAGAUAACGAAUUUGUACAAGAAAGGUAAAACAAAAACAUNAAUGGGCAAAAUAAUUAAGUUUGCCCAAAUAAAUGUAGCCAAANAUCAAGAGAAAAAAAUAGCGAAAANCUCUCUAACCAUGUACCAAUUGAUGUGUGUUUUCCCUCUGUCAGAUCCUUAUUGAUUACUGGAGUUCACGAUUAGAACAAAAAUGUGGUUAAGUAAAAAUAAAAAUAAAAAACUNGUUCUGAUUGAA